rnacentral:lncRNA from 1 species
UUUGAGGGUCUUGAUAGUAUAGAACAGAAGUUAGAGGCAGAGGGCAGUGAGGGAGAAGGGAAUGGUGAUGAAGUAAGGGCAGAGGGAGAGGCUGAAAGUGAUGAUGACUCUAGUGUUUAUAGUGAUGAUUUGGGUGAGAGUGAUGAUGAUGAUGAUGAUGAAGUGAAGCAGGGGCAGUUUAUGGGUAGUGUUCAGGAGGG